GAGGGAGGCAGGAUCGACGUGUCCUCUCCCAUGAAAGAAAACUGUUUUCAACAAGACGUGAUGGAAUAAAUGCAAAGAGAGGAAUGACAGCGCAAAAGGAGUGUGCUAUCAAGUCCGAGUGUGUAAGCAAGAACCGCGAGGCAGGGUAUGCAGACAGCAGAGAGCAUCUACAAAGUGAAUGGAUGAAGAAGGGAGAGCAGAGGAAAAGAACGUUCUUGGGACGUCCUCCCUGCCGGGUCCAGAUCCCCAAAGAUUGCCCCAGGUGCCAGGAGUGGACCGCUCACGGGAAGAAACCCCUUCCACCUGCUACGGUCUCAGGGGACUUUUCCAGAAAGUCUCUCUCUGGGAGCUGACUCAGUGCCGUGCCCACUCUGGCUGUUCUGAGCACCCUGCUUAGCCUGAGGCUGUUCCUCAGGUGUCAGAAAGAAGCCGGUGGGUGACUGUCCCUCUGCCGCGGUGAAAAGAAAAGGGGCCGUUUGGGCUCUGUGUUCCUGUUUUGAUUCCCGGGCACAGAAGUAGUGCCGGCACUGGGUUGAUUUAAUUAUUGUUGAACUAUUAUUCAAAAGCAUGAGACUGAAAAUGGGGGUGGCGGGGUGGGGUGGAAGGUUAGGGUGAUUUCACCUUUCUAAUUGGUGUCUACCUUUGCCCACAGGUCAACAAAAAUAACCCCAGCCUUAGCCUGGAAGACAUAGAGUGUGGCCAGGGCUGUCAGCAACUGCAAAGGGCAGGGAGGGAAGGACCAACAGGGAUAUGGCGGCAGGGUUGGGGCCGGCGGACAGGUGUUGGUGGGCAGGGUUGGGGUCAGGGGACAGGUUGCAAACGCUCCCUGUUGGGGGCCCCUGCCAAACUGCCUAGAAGCAGCGUCCUUUCUUCCCGGAGUGAACUUCUCAAGGCACCGUGAAGCGCCUGCCGGUCAGAAGUGCUCGGAGUGGAGCCGGCUUAGGGGCUUGCUGUUGUCUGUACCUCGGUACCUAGUUCAGGUAUACGUAGGAUCGUCAUUGGAGGAAACCAGAACUCCUCGCCAGGAGAGAGGGUGGGCGCCUCUGUCUCUCCGUCUCCGAGAAGGUGGUGGCUACGGCAUUGCUGCGCGAUCAUGAACCUUCUCCGGAGACAACCGCAGUUAGGGUUCUCUCCGCCCGGCGGAGGAGUUGGGGGGGGGUGGUGGGAGUCGGUGGGGCUGCGUGAAGGCCUGGCUGGUG
rnacentral:lncRNA from 1 species